rnacentral:tRNA from 1 species
UUGGGGUAUCGCCAAACGGUAAGGCACAGGAUUUUGAUUCCUGCAUUUCCGGGUUCGAAUCCCGGUAUCCCAGU